CCACUCUGGUCACUGAGGGGCAGGGGGCGGGCGGGACGCGGGAUGUUCCAGCGCAGGCGGCCCCCCAGCAACCCAGGGGUGGCCUGGUCAGCGGGACCAGCUCGCGGGCGGCCUUAGGUGUGGCCGGGACGGGCGACAGUGCCAGGCAUAGGGAGGAGGGACGGCAGGAUCGGACAGGGAGCGGCAGAGGUUCCAGCGGGCUGCCAGGGGGUGCAAGGGGCAUCUGAGCCAGGCGCAGCGGCCAACAGAUGGCCAGGUACAGCGGAGAAAGGGGACACACGCAGUACAGCGCGGGAUAGGGAAGUCAGUAGCAGUGGAAGGUUGGGCCCCUCAGGCUGCUCUCACGGGGGGCACCGCAGCGGGACCAGGGAGCGGGAGGAGUACAGACGGGAGCGGCGCAGCGGUGGCGCCAGGCCCGGCAGCAGCAGGAGGUCAGCUGAUCGGCAGUGGAGCAGGGACAGGAGUCCAUCGCAUAGCAGGCGCAGUGGUUCCAGGACCAGCUGCAGGGCGGGGAGAAGG